AACUUUCAACAAUGGAUCUCUUGGCUCUCGCAUCGAUGAAGAACGCAGCGAAAUGCGAUAAGUAAUGUGAAUUUCAGAUUUUCAGUGAAUCAUCGAAUCUUUGAACGGACCUUGCGCCCCUUGGUAUUCCGAGGGGCAUGCCUGUUUGAGUGUCAUUAAAUUCUCAACCCCGAAUCUUUUUUCGGGGCUGGGACUUGUAGUGCGCUGUCGUCUGGUAGGGCCCUCUGAAAUGCAACGGAGGAACUGCACCUUCGGUGUCCGGACGUCAGUGUAAUCAACCAGGUUGCCCUCCUGUAGUCCACCAAAGUCCGCUUCUCAUGGGCUUCGGUCACACCCUUCAUCAAAGUUGGCAUAAAAUCAAGUAGGACUACCCGUUGGACUUAAGCAAAUAAAUAAGCGGCGGCU
rnacentral:misc_RNA from 1 species